GACGAACGCUGGCGGCGUGCUUAACACAUGCAAGUCGAACGGUGAAAGCGGAGCUUGCUCCGCUGGAUCAGUGGCGAACGGGUGAGUAACACGUGGGCAACCUGCCCCUCACUUCGGGAUAACUCCGGGAAACCGGGGCUAAUACCGGAUAUGACCUCCUUGGGCAUCCUUGGAGGUGGAAAGUUUUUCGGUGAGGGAUGGGCCCGCGGCCUAUCAGCGUGUUGGUGAGGUAGUGGCUCACCAAGGCGUCGACGGGUAGCCGGCCUGAGAGGGCGACCGGCCACACUGGGACUGAGACACGGCCCAGACUCCUACGGGAGGCAGCAGUGGGGAAUAUUGCGCAAUGGGCGAAAGCCUGACGCAGCAACGCCGCGUGCGGGAUGGCGGCCUUCGGGUUGUAAACCGCUUUCAGCAGGGAAGAAGCCGCAAGGUGACGGUACCUGCAGAAGAAGCACCGGCUAACUACGUGCCAGCAGCCGCAGUAA
rnacentral:rRNA from 1 species